AGUGAACGCUGGCGGUAGGCCUAACACAUGCAAGUCGAACGGCAGCACAGUAAGAGCUUGUUGUUACAGGUGGCGAGUGGCGGAUGGGUGAGAGAUAUCUCGGUAGCUACUGUUGCUUGGGGGAGGACGUGGGGGCUAAUACGGUAAUAGUGCAUAGGGCCUACGGGUGAAAGCUUGGGAUCUUACGACCUUGCGUGAGUCAAUGUGCGGAUGUCGGAUUAGCUAGUUGGCGGGGUAAAGGCGCACCAAGGCGACGAUCCGUAGCUGGUCUGAGAGGAUGAUCAGUCACACUGGAACUGAGACACGGUCCAGACUCCUACGGGAGGCAGCAGUGGGGAAUAUUGGACAAUGGGCGCAAGCCUGAUCCAGCCAUGCCGCGUGGGUGAAGAAGGCCUUCGGAUUGUAAAGCCCUUUUGUUUGGAAAGAAAAGCAGCAAGUUAAUACCUCGCUGUUCUGACGUUACCCAAAGAAUAAGCACCGGCCAACUUCGUG
rnacentral:rRNA from 1 species